rnacentral:rRNA from 1 species
UGUGAGCUCGAUGAGUAGGGCGGGACACGUGGUAUCCUGUCUGAAUAUGGGGGGACCAUCCUCCAAGGCUAAAUACUCCUGACUGACCGAUAGUGAACCAGUACCGUGAGGGAAAGGCGAAAAGAACCCCGGCGAGGGGAGUGAAAAAGAACCUGAAACCGUGUACGUACAAGCAGUGGGAGCCUCUUAAUGGGGUGACUGCGUACCUUUUGUAUAAUGGGUCAGCGACUUAUAUUCUGUAGCAAGGUUAACCGAAUAGGGGAGCCGAAGGGAAACCGAGUCUUAACUGGGCGUUAAGUUGCAGGGUAUAGA